rnacentral:rRNA from 1 species
ACCGGCAGCUCAAGUGGUGGCCAUUUUUAUUGGGCCUAAAGCGUUCGUAGCCGGUUUGAUAAGUCUCUGGUGAAAUCCCGCAGCUUAACUGUGGGACUUGCUGGAGAUACUAUUAGACUUGAGGUCGGGAGAGGUUAGGGGUACUCCCAGGGUAGGGGUGAAAUGCGAUAAGCCUGGGAGGAAUACCUGUGGCGAAGGCGCCCAACCGGACCGUAAUUGACGGUGAGCAACGAAGGUGAGGGGAGCAAACAG